rnacentral:rRNA from 1 species
UACGAAGGGGGCGAGCGUUGUUCGGAUUUACUGGGCGUAAAGGGCGCGCAGGCGGCUAUCCAAGUCAGGCGUGAAAGCCCGGGGCUCAACCCCGGAACUGCCCUCGAAACUAGAUAGCUAGAAUCUUGGAGAGGCGAGUGGAAUUCCGAGUGUAGAGGUGAAAUUCGUAGAUAUUCGGAAGAACACCAGUGGCGAAGGCGACUCGCUGGACAAGUAUUGACGCUGAGGUGCGAAAGCGUGGGGAGCAAACAGG